UGGAAUGAAUGGAAGUGCACUGAUGGCA
rnacentral:piRNA from 1 species